AGGAGUCAGAGACAGGGAAGUCAGAAGAAGCAGAGGAGAGAGGAGAUGGCAAGGGGGGUUAUGAAGAAAGAAAAGAAACCGGGUACAGCCAUUCAGAAAUGUUAGUGUCAAAGGACAGUCGGCACUGGCAGGAAUGUUCCCGUAGUUCUCUGUAGAUGUGGAACCAGAGACCGAAGAACAGGCUGUAAGUGUUAGUGUGAAAGCACAGAUGGAUUGUGGCAUUUAUUCUGGAUGAAACACAGCACAUGCAGUCAGCUCAAAGAGCCCCUGUAAACACACACACACACACACACACACACACACACACACACGCCUGCAGGAGGUGGUAUAGAUGUAAACAUCAUACAGCAACUUCUCACUGUUGUCACUGUUAGAUGAGUGCUAUCACAGUCCAGCAGUCAGCUGGCACUGAGGCAUCCCAACAUUCUACCUUUACCCCUCCAAAGAGACUUCAGAGCUCCAGUAGCACCAUGACAGGAACAAAGCCCGACCAUCCAGCCUGAAUGAUGCUUCUGUUUUUACAACUGCAUCACUCCUGUUAGGUAUGAUAAGAUUUUACACGACACAUUUAUUGCUGAGAUCUGCAGGAGAAGCAACUCGCUGCUAGAAACAUGUUGACAGUGAACACCAAUCAAACCCGAAGGUUCACACUUCUAUUUAGCUUUAUAAAUAUGGGUUAGGUAAUAAAAUAAAUGAUUUGAUGAUGUGGCUGGAGACUUGCCAGGUUGUCUGAUCACUCCGUUGUGAGAUGGAUUUACAAAAGAAUGUUCCAAAACAAAGAAGCAGAACAUCUCAACACCUCAAGCUUCAGGAUCACUGGAUCUUCAAAUUCUACUUAGAGAGCGUCUUUAAUUAGAGCCUCUGCUCAUCUCUGCUCAAACCUGCAUCAGCUGCUACAGAAUACUUCUGGAUCUCUGACCUGACUUUAAGGCACCAGAUUUUUAGAAGAAAGAAGACUUCAUUAAGCUGUUGUUUUGGUUUUUAUUGUGGCAGGAAUGCUAAAUCAGUCAAUCACUCUUAACUCUUAACACAGGUCAUUCAGAGCCACUUAAGACUUUGAGCAACUGAGACAGUGGCAGUUCUAAAAACACAGUGGCUUUCUUAUGGUGUGUUAUGGCCGCUGCCAACUCGCCCCGAUACAUCCCUGUGUGUAGUGUAGUCAGGGCGGCUUGUGUUUUGUGUUUUGAAGUUUUUGCAAAAGUUACUGUAACUUGUGUUGUUUGUGGAAGUUUUUCGUUUGCUAUAGGACUGGGCUUAGUUUAAGUUUAUUGAUUCACAUACACGCUUAGAGAUAUUUCUGUUAGAAACAGGUUUUAGGGGUGCUGUUUUGAUGUGUUUUUUGUUAUUAGAAAUUAGAUUAUAUUGUGAGGCCUUCUUUCUCGUUUUGGUUUCAUAUAGAUAGUACAGGCUCUAGUUUAUUGAGAGUUUGCGCCCUUUGUUCCCUUGUAGUUUACUUCACCUCCUUUUGUUAAAUCAGUCUGAAAUGUCAUUUAUUAUAUAUCUUUGUUUACACCUUAAACAUCUGGUUUUAUGUUACUUGCUUACAACCCUUGAGCCUGGUCGUAAUGUAAAUGGGGGCUCGUCCGGUAUCUGAACCCGGGACAUCUUGCCCAAAAGUAUGUAAUGAUGAUGAUAAAAAAAACAAUCAGAGGUGCUAACUUCUAUUUCCACAAUAAAAGACAAUUGACACUUUUCAUUAGUACAUUGCAUCUAGACAUCAAAACCUUUUUAGAAUUAAGGCCUUUCUUCUCGAUUUGUUGAGCAUCAUAUGAAGACAUUGUUUUGAGUCUCCUUGAGCUUAGCUCAUGCCCUUAACAUGUUUUGGUUCAUGAGUCAUUGUUAGUAAAUGCUUUCAACUGUGCUAAAGCUAUGCCCAUAUUUUAACAUGCAUUCAGAGAUGUGUUCUGUAACAUGUGAGUUCAGAAUGGGAUUUGAUGUCAUGGUACAAUCUAUCUAAUCUAUGUUUCAGAGACUCUAGUGCUAGAAUAAAAUGAUAAACUGAGGCUGUGCUGCGUUAUUGGAGCACCACUAUCUCACUUCAGGAGUUAUUCUAACUUUAGAGAAACCAGUUCACUCAGGAUGUAGACCUGGCUUGCAUUAGUGCAGCAAAUGGACUAGUAAGUGGACUUUGACAUGUGAAAGCUGUGUGUAGAUCUGUGUGUCAGAGGGCAGCAGGGUCUCCAAUCAAAGAGAGUGUCUUGCACAAUGAAUCACUUAUUGCUGGUUUUAUGCUCACUUUUUAUGAUUUCAUACAUUUCUGUCUCCAUCAGGACAUGCCUGCAUGCACCUCAUGAAGAAUAGACUGAAAUCACCUUCACCAGAUGAAAGUAAGCAGGAAAUCAUUUACAACAUUAUGACAAAACUAUGAAAAUAACAAAAACCCCAUCCAUUUUGUGGGAAAAAAAAUGUCCAGAUUUAUCUUUCAUCUGGUGAUUAUUUUCAUCAGCAGUCCUGCACACACACGCAGUCAUAUGCAUAGUCAUAAUUUCAGUUCUUGACAGAAUGAUUUGGUACACAGCUGGGCACUGCACUGUUUUUCCUCUCAAUUAUCAUUACACGUUCACAAACCACCACGAGCCGCCGAGUAAAACAGAGGGCUUGUCAUAAAAUUUGACACGGAUGAAAAGAGCCCAACACUCAUUAGGUGCCGUCAAAGCCUGGUGCUUGUGUGGUGCUGUGAAAUUAAGUUGUUACAGCUUAAUAUUCCUAUAGAGACAUCAGAGGGGCGUCUCAACAUCUCUGCAUCCGUUUCAGAGAGCCUCUCAUCUUGUUGAGGAAGAGAGAAAAAUAUUCUUUUCUCCAGCACACAGAGGUCUGGAAGGACUAGCACCACCUAUAAUUAAAAUCAUUAGCAGUCAGAGACAAAAGCUCCCUGGAUUUCAAAGGGGAAUUUCAAAUAACGGUUUGCCCAGUGAGAUCCAAAUGCACAGCCUAGUAGCUUUUAUGGAAUACAAUAACCUUGGACAGCGAUGCUGGGGACUGCACUUGCGCCAAAGACAAGGAGGGAGUGAUGGGAGGAAAGACGGGGGCGACGGACUCUUAAGCUGCAAUUAGGUUUGCAGAACAUGCCUCGACUAUUAGGCAAUCUAGGGAUUGGCCACUUCCUACUGUUAUGAUGACAGAGCAGCCAGGUGUCUUUGUGUUUGCCACUGUGGACACUCAUAAGGGUGGGCGAUGCUCUGACGUCAGCCUGCAGACGUUUUCUUAUCUGAGCCUUUAGGAGUUAAAGCUUGGCCAGCAUUUGUGUGUUGGUCAAGUUUCGGUGAGUCAACUCUUCCAGCCCUAUUAAAUGAGUCUUUUAACCUUUCUCUUCGCAGGCAACACUCAUUUUUAAUAACACCUGCCUUGAGUAAAUGGGAAAACAGAAAUGGGGAAAUUAAGUGCAGUUAAGGUUUUUUUCCAUCUUGUAACCUUAGUGACACUGCUGAGGGUCCUAAAACUAACAGUGGUACUUAAAGCAGUACUGAGGAGCUUGUGGAACAGCAAGUCUUUCUCCUUGAAAUGGUUAUGUCAAACAUGUUUAGGAGAAACAGAUCAUAUUGAGGAUAAGCGUGACAUUCUUGUACCACAUAAAAAUAAUGGGGAUGGACAAAAUGGAGGACUUUGAUACUCCGGUUUGAACCAAAAUCUUUUCUACAAGAAAUGUGUUGGAAUCUACCCACGGAAGAAAAAAAAUCUUGUGUCACUGUAUAUGAACUGUUUUCUCAUCUUGCUCAAACAGUUAAUCACUAAGAGUAACUCAGCGUAAAUGUUAAGUCUUACUCUAAUCCUCCAGUUCAAAACUUUAACACUUUCUUAUCUUUGCAAAUUUCAUGACACGCUCACACUGCAGGUCUACAGCCAGCACCACAAUGGUGGGCCCUAUGUAAUUGAGCGCUUCACACAUAGUGUCAACCACAAUUUAUGUCCUUGACCACCGUACCAUUAGUUAAGCCCUGCCGAAAGCCUGGGGGAAGCAAACAAACACUGAGGAGACAUUAAUUGUCUGUGACAUUCUGCCGCCAUUGGUUGUACAUCUCUGUUACACACUAUUACAUUCAUCAUUAGCUUCUAUGGAUCCUCCUGCUCUGCUUUGCUCAGCUUUGCACCUCUGUGUCCCUGGGUCUUAUAGACGCCACUAUUUAUGCCUCAAAUAUAUGAAACUGUCUGCCCAGUCAAGUCCCAGUGGCUUUGCAGCCCGGACAGGUGUGAACAUCCUUUCCAAGACCAUCAGGAAGCAGAUGCUUGGAAAACUUCUCUUAUCCAGUGUCAUAUGAAAAGGCAACACUGCUAUUUGUGUUGUAAAACAUAUGCGGCAAUGAGUUCAAUGUGAUAUGAACUGUUCAAAAAGUGGUGUUAAAAUCUGAGAAUAGUCAGAAAGAAGACAUGUUCCUUUAUCUGCCAUGCCUCUGAGUGGGCGGGCAAAGACUGACAGCUAAACCAACAGUGGACUGACAACAUUCAUCUAAAAUGACCAAAGUAAGCAUUUAAAGGCUGUUUGGUGCAUUACAGAAGCUCAUUUUCUACACUUGUAAUAAACAUAAAAAACAAGGUUGUGCAGAGGUUAGCAGGUCAGGUCUGACAGAUUAUUAAUGAUUUGUUUCUUGAGGCAUUUUGUUGGAUUUAGAUGCUGAUGUGAAUAUUUCUAUUCUGGAUGACUUUGUAUUCAUGCCGUAGAAUAGAUAUCUAUCCUGCAACUGAGCUGCAGUUUAUGCUUCCCCAAGACUGACAAAUUCAUUAUAUGGAUAUAUAUUUCUGUUUAAGUAGAAUGGAAAAAAAUGAAAGCCUUCCUGUUUCCUUUUCCUUUAACCUUCAAUCAGCCUUUUCAGCUACUUUGCUGCACCUUCUUUGUAAAACUACAGCAGCCAAUGCCAUGAAGCCAACAAUAUGAAAUAUAAAUGUGAUAUGUCCAGGCUAUGUAUUCUACAAAGCAGAUCUGUACAUUGUAGCGGAAAAGCUCAUUUCAUCUCAUUUCAGUGAUAUUUUAAGCUAAAUGUGCUGCAGACAAUUACUAUAACAUCGUAAUAAUACAUUCAAAUGUAGAACUGCAUCAUUUAUAUUUAUUAAAAAAGAAAUGCCUGACAAACACUGACAUAGGACCGGACCAUGGAAUGGGAUCCAGAGGUCGACACUGCGUCUGUGCUCCUUGCCUGGAGGGCAGUCACCACUGAGCCACGGUCACAUCCAGCCCAGCAGCGAGCAUGAUGAAAUAUUAAGAGGGCCGGGGGGGAGAGGCUGACUCGAUGCUGACUGCUGUUCAGACACAACAAAGCGGUGUCCGACACGACAUCAAGCGACCAAGACAAACACUGCCAGUAUACCCCUCGCUGCCGUGAAGGAGAUUCUUGGCCUCGAGAGGGACGACCAGAUCAUGACACUUGUUCCUUUCCAUUCAAUGCUUUGCAAAGUGGUUAACCAUACAGUGAAUCUGAGGAGGGAGGAUUGCUUCAUGCUGGGGCUCAAGUAACAUAUUGUCAGUUGUAUUCAUGCAUCUCAGCAUGUGGGGGCAUGCAAUGAUGAGUGGAGUAAACUGGGGUUAUGAGGGAAUCUCUGAGCACUGUUGAUGAUGCAUUAUCCCUGAGCCUUCACACAUCAAAGGAGAACCCCCCCCCUUGGAUUUACUCUCUGUCUGCCACUUCCAUGAGGCAUCUCUUCCUGUGUGAACUGUUCGACAUGGAUCUAGAACUGAGCCAUCGCUCUUUGAGGUCCUGACAGCGAAAGCUGAGGUCUUUAAAUAGAUAAAUAUCAUCACAGGAGCAAAAUCACCAAACAACUAAAUUGGCCCAGAAUGCCGUGAACAUUCCAAAUAUCUUUUUUAUUUGAUUUUUUUUCUGUCAGGGGGGAUUUUUCUUUAAGUCGGUUCUUUUCUACAGUGUGACAGCCAGAAGUGAUUGACUAACUGGACCGAAACUAAACCCAGAGAAAAACUCUGGGUUUUCUCUCUCCAGUAUCAAAACCUCGACUAAAUGUUCAAAGACUGUAGAAUGCUGCAUCAUUUCCAGUGGAGCAAAAAAAAAAAAAAAAA